rnacentral:rRNA from 1 species
GCCCGCUCAGAAACUCAAAGGAAGUUCGACGGGGCCCGCACAAGCGGUGGAGUAUGUGGUUUAAUUCGAUGCAACGCGAAGAACCUUACCUGGUCUUGACAUCCCGGAGACCCUUAGGAAACUAGGGGGUGCUUCCAUCUGGAAGAAUCUGGAGACAGGUGCUGCAUGGCUGUCGUCAGCUCGUGUCGUGAGAUGUUGGGUUAAGUCCCGCAACGAGCGCAACCCUUGCCUUUAGUUGCCAGCAGUUCGGCUGGGCACUCUAAAGGGACUGCCGGUGUUAAACCGGAGGAAGGUGGGGAUGACGUCAAGUCCUCAUGGCCUUUAUGACCAGGGCUACACACGUACUACAAUGGCCGAUACAAAGGGCAGCGACACUGCGAGGUGAAGCCAAUCCCGUAAAAUCGGUCUCAGUCCGGAUUGGAGUCUGCAACUCGACUCCAUGAAGUUGGAAUCGCUAGUAAUCGUGGAUCAGCAUGCCACGGUGAAUACGUUCCCGGGCCUU